rnacentral:rRNA from 1 species
CCUACGGGAGGCAGCAGUAGGGAAUCUUCCGCAAUGGACGCAAGUCUGACGGAGCAACGCCGCGUGAGUGAUGAAGGUUUUCGGAUCGUAAAACUCUGUUGCGAGGGAAGAAACCGUGCCAGCUAACUACUGGCACCUUGACGGUACCUCGCCAGAAAGCCACGGCUAACUACGUGCCAGCAGCCGCGGUAAUACGUAGGUGGCAAGCGUUGUCCGGAAUUAUUGGGCGUAAAGCGCGCGCAGGCGGUCCCUUAAGUCUGAUGUGAAAGCCCACGGCUCAACCGUGGAGGGUCAUUGGAAACUGGGGGACUUGAGUGCAGAAGAGGAAAGUGGAAUUCCAUGUGUAGCGGUGAAAUGCGUAGAGAUGUGGAGGAACACCAGUGGCGAAGGCGACUUUCUGGUCUGUAACUGACGCUGAGGCGCGAAAGCGUGGGGGAGCAAACAGGAUUAGAUACCCUGGUAGUCCACGCCGUAAACGAUGAGUGCUAAGUGUUAGGGGGUUUCCGCCCCUUANUGCUGCAGCUAACGCAUUAAGCACUCCGCCUGGGGGAGUACNGCCCCNAAGGCUGAAACUCAAAUGAAUUGACGGGG